AAGAAACCAUUGGCUAAUCCAAGGUUACGCAGAUUUACACCUUACCUACUCCUAAGAGUUUUAGCUCUUCUAGGUUUGAUCAGCUUUGAGUUAAUUUUUAUAUAUGCUGUGUGGACACAAGAUGACGUUAAGGAAAAUGAAGGAUAUUUGAGUUUUUCCCCUUCUUUUGAGGUUUACAUGGGGUACAACUCUGCUACCUCUGUGUAAUGUGGAAAUAGAGAUUAGUGAGGGAGAAAAAAUUUUCCUUGAUGGCAUUCUCCAGUACUGGUAAUAGUUCAUUGACUAUGGAAAAUUCAAGUCAAACAUUUUUCAACUGAAUGGACUAAUUAAUCUAAUCCAACAACCUUUUUUUUUUUUUUUUAGGUUCUUGGGAUAGUUUAAAUGUGUGAAGAGAUAAUACAUAGUUGCAUGAGUGUCCAUAAGCAGUAAUUUUUGUCUAUACAGAAUGAGAACUCUGAUCUGCACUCAUAGAAUCUCAAGCUUUGGUUCCUUUUUCCUGGUCUCAGUGGAAUGAAAAGAAUUCGUUCCAUAUUUUCUGGAGCCCUGGACUGUUCUGGUUUACAGCAUUGGUGGAGGUGGGAUUGUAAUUCUGAAACUUCAGAUCUUCAAAGAAGGGAAGGAGAAUGCCUUGUGCUUGUACCAUAGACAUGUGAUUUUUUUUUUUAAGUUGGAACACUGUAAUGUUUUUAUUUUGUUUAAAUAAAUUUAAAUAAAUUUUUUUAUUCUUA